CUUAUAAUUUUAUUUUGAUUUUCCAGGUUGAAUAAUAGUGUAGUCCGAGUACUUGAUAGCAUCAUGGCUGCUUACAUUGGUCAUAUUUGUAAGCUUACACUGCCAAGGAUUAGAUGUCACUCCAGGAUUGAUACAUACUAUAACCACAUCAGGGCUAUUACGAGUAUUGUUCAUCAGUCAAAAAAGCAGGUUGUAUUGGGUAUUGAAACCAGCUGUGAUGAUACUGGUGCAGCUGUUGUUAGUGAGGAUGGGGAAAUUCUUGGUGAAGAUCUUUAUAGUCAACAAAAAAUUCAUUUACUGCAUGGUGGCAUAAUUCCUCCAAUUGCAAAUAGGCUGCAUGCAGAAAGAAUCGAGUCUGUAGUGACAACAGCUAUAGAAAGAUCUGGAGUAAGUCUCAACGAAAUUGAUGCUAUUGCUACGACAGUUAAACCUGGUUUAUCUCUCUCUUUAUGUGUUGGAAUUAAUUAUGGGAAGAAACUUGCACUCAGUGCUAAUAAACCAUUCAUCCCAAUACACCACAUGGAGGCUCAUGCUCUCACAAUCCGUAUGAUUGAAAAGGUUGAGUUUCCUUUUUUGGUAUUGCUAAUAUCAGGUGGUCACAGUCUUUUAGUCCUAGCAAGAAGUCUGGAUGAGUGGAGUAUCAUAGGCAAAUCUGUUGAUGAUGCUCCUGGAGAAGCACUAGAUAAGGGUGCAAGAAGGUUAAAGCUAAGAAAUAUUCCAGAGCUUUCCUCAAUGUGUGGAGGCCAAGCUAUAGAAUAUCUUGCUAGAGAUGGUAAUCCAAGAGCUUUUGAUUUUCCAACACCCAUGUGGAAAUACAGUGACUGUACUUUCAGCUUCUCCGGUCUAAAAUUUACUCUGAAGAAGACUGUUGAAAAAUUAGAAGAAGAAUAUGAAAUAGAAGGAGGAAGAAUAAUACCCCAGGUAAAAGAUGUGUGUGCAUCAUAUCAGUAUGCUAUAACAAAGCAUAUUGUUCGACAGACUCAGAGGGCAAUGGUAUAUGUAGAAACACGAGAACUGCUUCCCAAGGAGAAUUACACACUGGUUGUUUCAGGAGGAGUUGCCUGUAACCAGUACAUCAGAAGAGCAUUAUCAUUAUUGUGCACUGAGAUGGGUUAUAGACUUGUAUGUCCACCACCAAAACUGUGCACAGAUAACGGAAUUAUGAUUGCUUGGAAUGGAAUGGAAAGAUGGAAGGCCAAAAGCGGCAUUUUGUAUAACAAGGAUGAUAUAGAGGCAGUUAAAUUUCAGCCUAAAUGCCCAAUAGGAGAAGAUUUAACUGAUGACGUCCGCAGUCUAGGAAUCAAGAUAAAAAGAUGGGUUAAAUUUAGAUGAAGUUAAAAAUAUAUAGACAAUUGUCAGUUAUCUUGCUGUAAUCCAGCUCCAGUGGACAUGAGAACCAGGAGGUGCUAAGCGCCAUCACCGUCAAAACCAAGAUUUUCACAGAAAACGGUACAUCGUAUGCAUAAAAAUUUUUCUCAAUGUGCUUUAUGGCACUUUCUGGCCCUACAACAUGGUCGAAAAUGCCAUAGAAGUCAAUGCAUGUUUCACCUGAAAAAUUUGUAGCAUGUAUCGAAUAAAUGCUUAGAACCAGGUGUCAUCUCGCAUCGCGUCCCUCCACCACUAAGCGUCAAGAUUUCCAGGGAAAGCAGCAGCCAAUCACAGUGCUUCGUCAAUGAGUGAGUAGGUGUCUCAGCCAAUCAGCGCUCACGAAGCAUAGCGUCACGGGAUGCGGCAGAAUGUAAAGAAAACUCACCCACCUCCCCCACUGACCACCGAUGACAACUUCUUGCGCGGAUUGGAUUAUGUUGCUUUGAUGAGUGUUAAAUCAAAAAUUUUUAUUAUCAUUAAUAUUAUUAAUAAUUA